UGUGAAAUGAGUGCUCAAUUUGAUAAUUAACCCGUAAAUCAAAGAUGGCCUAAAAUGAUUACAUACACACAUAAGGCUAAAUUUUGACAUUUUUACAACAAGAUGUGAAACUAGUGCUUAGCUACAAGCACCAUAUUUUACAUGCAUCUCUUGGAAGAUGCAGCUUACUAUCUAUCAAUUAUUCUUUCAACAAAAUCAAAAUUUGCAUCUUCUUAUUGCUUACAAUUUUCACCAUCUUUGCUAACAACUAUCUCAGACAACUUAAAAGGCUCAACUUCUUCCAGCAUUUGGACUACCACCCUCAUUGAAGGCCUUAGAUUCGGAACCUUCAUCGUGCAGCGAAUUGCAAUUGUU
rnacentral:lncRNA from 1 species